AUGGCUGUACCAACCACCCUGAAGGCAUCCGAUCUCAUUUUCUCUCAGAAGCCAAGCAGGGUUUGUCCCAGUUGGCAGCAGUAGUAAUGACAGAUUACGCUUAUUGCCAAA
ensembl:rRNA 5S_rRNA 5S ribosomal RNA